CAAAAUAUGAGAUUAGUGCAAAGGCAAGGCAUUAAAUAACAAUGAGUCAUAUACUAAGAACUUACUCCAUUUUUAAUUCUUUGUGAAAUCAUUCUUAUAUGUCAAUAAAAAGUCUCACUUCUAACAUUUAAUAAUCUCCUAUUUAAGGGCAAGUAAGUCUUAGUGUCAGGUCUUAUUAAGUAAAAGCAGCUAGCCAAAUCAUAUAAAUAUUAUUUUUAUGUUUAUGCUAUAUCCAUGAUCAGAGAUUUUGGUUUUUCAUUUUAGGUAAAAUUUUUUCAUUUUAAAUUAUUCAUUUAAGUAAUUUUAUAGAAAACUCAAGUAUCAAAAUUACCUUACAGUACACUUCUUAGAUAAAGCAAUACUUCAAGGCAGUUUGGAAAAGAUUAAACAUUAAAUACUAUACUUAUUUCAUUGUAUCAACAAGAAAUUCAUCUAAAUCCCUGGGGGAAAAGUAAGUAGAAGCUAUAAUACUGCCAUAAUAAAGGCAAUUUUAAAGUGAACCAUUGGUAUUUCACCCACUUUUUAAAAAGCAGCAUCUUAUGUUAUUAAUUCCAAUAUUUUUAUAACAAGACAUACAUAAAUAUAAUUUCCUAAAAGAUUCUUUAUUUAUAAAGAUGUCUUUAUUUAUGCCCACUUGCUUCCUGCUACUCCAGUUUACAGAGAUAAUAAUGAACCAUAGGAUCAUAUGCAUUCCUCCAAUCCCACACCAAUAAAUUCAACAUCAUGUGUAUGUAUGUUUCUGUACUACCCAGAAGGUUAACAGUAACUGCCAAAACAGACAAACCCAUGUGUGUGAUGCCUAAAUUACACAAGAAGGAAGAGAAACAGGCCCUGAUCCAGAUGGUCACUUGGAGACCCUGGUAAGAGGCUCUAUCAACUCAUGGUUGUAUCAUCUUUUUAUUUUAUUUUAUUUAGGGAAGAAUUAAAAUUUCUUCAUUUUUUCUUUUUUGUAAGGACAACAUGAUCUAUAUAGAAAAUGUGUCAAAAAUUAUAUGCAUACAUACAUACACACACACAAGUACUAAUGGUUUAGCAAAGUCACAGAAUCGAGGUCACUAUGAAAAAUCAAUUCCAUUUCUUUAUAUGAAUAAAGAACAUUUAGAACUGGAAAUAAUUAAGAAUAACAUCACAAAAUAGGAAAUAUUGGGUAGUAAAUAAAAUACGUGCAAAAUUUAUACUUUAAAACAAAAUAUUAUCAAGAGAAAUUAGAAAAGAUUUAAAAUGAGAGCAAUUUGUGGUUCAGUAGACUUGAUAUGGUUAAAAUGUAUAAGUCUCUCAAAUUAAAUCUAUAGUAGGUCUUCUCCACCAGGCUUCUCAAUUAGAAUUAAGUCCUAAUCCUCUAUAGCAUUCAUUACAGAUGACUUAACAUUUCUUCUGUGAAUACAGAAUAGUACUAGCUAUAUACCAACCUUGAGGGAAAUGACAAAAUAGUUAUUCUAAUUAUUUUCUGUAAGAUUCUGAAAAAUGUUCAAUUCCUCUUUCGUAGAAACUAAGCUAAGAAAUACUGAUAGAUCACCAUGAAAACACCUGAUGAC
rnacentral:lncRNA from 1 species